GUCUUUUAUUACUCUUCAAAGAGCCCUCAGGACUUGGUGCUCUUCUCCAGAACUGGGAUGUUGCGUUGAGAGGGGAGACUGGAGAGCCUGGGCUGGUGGGGUAGGGACCUGGGCAGCGUAUCAGGACAGGAGCGCCUCAAAAUCUGGAGCCACUGUGGUUAGAGAGUGUUCUUAUAUCGAUGUCUAAAAUACUUGAGUCUCACAUUUGCUACUGCAUUUUUAAAAACUUUCUUUUUCUCCAUAUCAGCUCCAGCCAGAAUGAGGACUCUGGCUCCGUAGCUGAGGGGUGCCAGGGAGCCCGGGCUGGCGGUGCUUCUGCUGCACAGCCCCACACUCCAUGCACCAGCCAGCCCAGCGUGUCCAUCUGCCAGCACAUCACAGGGACCAGGGCACUGUCAGCUCCCAGCACAAGCCUGCCGUGGGCUUCAAGGUGUAAAUACCCUUCCUGAGACCUGGACCAUACCUGGCUCCAGGCAGCCAUGGACUGUAGAGUUGAGGACUGUGUUGCCUUUGUAGGAAAGGCUUGCAGCUGUGGCUCAUGAGCUGUUGGCAGAGCUCUCAUCACUGAUUUGAGCACCACAAUACGUUCCCUGCAUGCCCUUCUAUUGCAAAGACAGCCAAAAGAAACUAGUGCACGCCAUCUCGUGGCCCUGCUCAGCUAUUUCCUGGGAACGAAUGGAGCUCCAGUUGCGACAAGAUGUUUGAUGUGGACAGGAUUUAAAAGAUGGCUUUCAGAGGCUCAGACACAGCCCGACCGUCUGACCCCUGCUCCCAGGUAUGAAACGUUCACUAUUAGUGCUUUGUCCACACUCCUGCCUUGACCUUGCAGCCUGAGCAGCUGUUUCCUGGAGCAGCAGCAGAACAUCAAACUGCAAAAAGCACUUCUUCAGCACAUGCUCACACAGCUAUUGAGGUAACCUUGACCUCACAACACACCCAGAGUGCCAGUGAACACAGCCCCCAGACCAGCCUUUGGUGGAGCACGAAAUUACUGUAUUCAUUUUAGAGUAGGACAUACACAUGUGAAUCCUUUUUAAUUACAUGAAAGGUUGGGGAUGUUCAUGGUACAUUUAUCUUCAUCUGCUGUCAGGACUUGUUAAAGAACUCCAUGUGUCAAUGCUUUAAAGCUAAAUGUGCCUGUUCAUAACUGUUCAUUAACAGCUGAAUCUAUGAACUCAUGAAAACAAGGUUACAUCAGCUGUCAGUCCUUUGGUGUAUCUUAAGUUCCUAUUCCUCCUUUCUCUUUUUGGUGGGAAAAUCAAGUCAUUAAGAGACCUUUGCCAGAAGUGAUUAAGGUACAAUUUCAUCACAUUGAGUUGAGGGAAUUAAAAACCAGAAGGACAAAGUACAA